GCCAGUGUGGUGUAGUGGUUUGCACAUUGGACUAUGACUCUGGAAAAUAGGGUUUGAAUCCAUGCUUGGCCA